UACAGAGGUCUCAAGCGUUGUUCGGAUUCAUUGGGCGUAAAGGGUGCGUAGGCGGCGCGGUAAGUCGGGUGUGAAAUCUUGGAGCUUAACUCCGAAACUGCAUUCGAUACUGCCGUGCUUGAGGACUGGAGAGGAGACUGGAAUUUACGGUGUAGCGGUGAAAUGCGUAGAUAUCGUAAGGAAGACCAGUGGCGAAGGCGGGUCUCUGGGACGGUACUGACGCUGAGACGCGAAAGCGUGGGGAGCGAACAGG
rnacentral:rRNA from 1 species